rnacentral:sRNA from 1 species
CCCUAGCCCUGAUUGCAGAGAAAAUCCUGUUAUUGUGAGAUUGCCGCGCAAGCUCGCAAGGACAGAUUGAAACGGAAAGCAGGAACAAGG